GACGUAGGGUCCAAGCGUUGUCCGGAUUUACUGGGCGUAAAGAGCGCAUAGGCGGCUCGUUAAGUGUGAAGUGAAAUCUCUAGGGCUCAACCCAGAAACUGCUUUACAUACUGGCGAGCUGGAGUGAUGAAGAGGUUUGUGGAAUUCCUGGUGUAGCGGUGAAAUGCGUUGAUAUCAGGAGGAACACCCAUGGCGAAGGCAGCAAACUGGUCAUCAACUGACGCUGAGGCGCGAAAGCGUGGGUAGCAAACAGG
rnacentral:rRNA from 1 species